rnacentral:rRNA from 1 species
UAUCCUGUCUGAAUAUGGGGGGACCAUCCUCCAAGGCUAAAUACUCCUGACUGACCGAUAGUGAACCAGUACCGUGAGGGAAAGGCGAAAAGAACCCCGGCGAGGGGAGUGAAAAAGAACCUGAAACCGUGUACGUACAAGCAGUGGGAGCACCCUUCGGGGUGUGACUGCGUACCUUUUGUAUAAUGGGUCAGCGACUUAUAUUCUGUAGCAAGGUUAACCGAAUAGGGGAGCCGGAGGGAAACCGAGUCUUAACCGGGCGUUAAGUUGCAGGGUAUAGACCCGAAACCCGGUGAUCUAGCCAUGGGCAGGUUGAAGGUUGGGUAACACUAACUGGAGGACCGAACCGACUAAUGUUGAAAAAUUAGCGGAUGACCUGUGGCUGGGGGUGAAAGGCCAAUCAAACCGGGAGAUAGCUGGUUCUCCCCGAAAGCUAUUUAGGUAGCGCCUCGUGAAUUCAUCUCCGGGGGUAGAGCACUGUUUCGGCUAGGGGGCCAUCCCGGCUUACCAACCCGAUGCAAACUGCGAAUACCGGAGAAUGUUAUCACGGGAGACACACGGCGGGUGCUAACGUCCGUCGUGAAGAGGGAAACAACCCAGACCGCCAGCUAAGGUCCCAAAGUCAUGGUUAAGUGGGAAACGAUGUGGGAAGGCCCAGACAGCCAGGAUGUUGGCUUAGAAGCAGCCAUCAUUUAAAGAAAGCGUAAUAGCU